ACAUGUCUAAUCUUUUUUAAGUAAACUUUAUACAUGUUGUAGCUAAUGCAUUGCUAUGAAUAUCGGUCCUGACCAGCUAUUGAAGUGUUUGGCUAGAUUGAUUCCAUAUAGUCAUUUGAAUGCAGCAGGAUUAGAUAUUGUGGACGUUUAGAUAGCUUCGUGGUGUGGUAUGAUGUUGAAGGGAGAUUCAUUGUUUUUGCUUCUGGUGCUUAAGGCACGGUGGCAGGUAUUCUAAUGAUCUCAGGUGGUGUGGGUUCAGAAAUGCUCAAGUUCAAUUUAUUGCUCCAUUUUCCAUUGUGAUUGUUGCUGCUGAAAACACGAAUUUAAGAAAUGUGAUUUAUAUUUGAAACAUUGGAACGGUACAUACUUCUAUGGUCUUGCAACCCCAUCAUGGCCGCGCUAGACGGAGCUAAUUGUAGUUCAGGGGUGGCCCUCGCCUCCCAUGUUCUCUAUGAUUCAUUAUAAAUCUUUUGGAACUUUUAUUAUUUAGAAGAAAAAAUUGUUAA